rnacentral:rRNA from 1 species
CAGCCGCCGCGGGAAUACGAAGGGGGCUAGCGUUGCUCGGAAUGACUGGGCGUAAAGGGCGCGUAGGCGGCGGCCAAAGUCAGGCGUGAAAUUCCCGGGCUCAACCUGGGGGCUGCGUUUGAUACUUGGUUGCUUGAGUGGGGAAGAGGGUCGUGGAAUUCCCAGUGUAGAGGUGAAAUUCGUAGAUAUUGGGAAGAACACCGGUGGCGAAGGCGGCGACCUGGUCCUUUACUGACGCUGAGGCGCGAAAGCGUGGGGAGCAAACAGGAUUAGAUACCCGCGUAGUCCCUGUCUCUUAUAC